rnacentral:piRNA from 1 species
GUGGCUGUCUGUAUUCUUUCUAAAGGAA